rnacentral:misc_RNA from 1 species
AGCAGCCGCGGUAAUUCCAGCUCCAAUAGCGUAUAUUAAAGUUGUUGCAGUUAAAAAGCUCGUAGUUGAAUUUCGGGAUCAGUAUGUUGGUCGUGCUUCGGUACGUACUGUCAUUACUGGUUUCUACCUUCUGAAGAACCUUGAUGUCAUUAAUUUGGUGUCUUGGGAAAUCAGGACUGUUACUUUGAAAAAAUUAGAGUGUUUAAAGCAAGCAUACGCUUGAAUACAUUAGCAUGGAAUAAUGAAAUAGGACGUUUGAUUCUAUUUUGUUGGUUUCUAGGAUCGACGUAAUGAUUAAUAGGGAUAGUUGGGGGCAUUAGUAUUCAAUUGUCAGAGGUGAAAUUCUUGGAUUUAUUGAAGACUAACUACUGCGAAAGCAUUUGCCAAGGAUGUUUUCAUUAAUCAAGAACGAAAGUUAGGGGAUCGAAGACGAUCAGAUACCGUCGUAGUCUUAACCAUAAACUAUGCCGACUAGGGAUCGGAUGAUGUUAUUUUUUAAUGACUCAUUCGGCGCCUUACG